UGCUGGGACCUCUCUGGGCUUUGGUUCUUUCCCCUAAAACACGACUCAUCAUCGUGCUCAUUGGCGCUCCCUGAACCUCGUUAAACGCAAACGGUCAGGCCCCGCCCCGCCCGGGCUGCGGUUUGUUUCGGUUUGGGGCGGGCCCGGCACAGGUGUUCCUGCGGAGCUCUCGGUGCAGUGCGCUCUGCGGGCCCCCACGGGCAUCCUCCCGACUCCUGUGGGUCAGAGUCACGCUGUUGGCAUCAGCUGGACUGGACUGUCUUCUGCCUUCCGCGUCAAGGACACAGCCGGCUGAAGAUGGGAAGUGCCCCCGACACUUUUGGAGCCUGGUAAUGCAAUGGCACG